AUGGAGCGGGCUGUGGAAGAGGGAUGUGGCUGUGGCAAUCCUGACACUCGAGACAAUGCUCAGAGCACGUUUUCCCAAGGGGAAGGAAGAAGCAUCAAGGAGCAAGAACAUGAAGAAGUGAAGAAGAGAAGCCCCCAUGCAAAGUGGCAGCAGCCGGGCUGCAAUGGAGUGAAGCUCUGCAGGCCAUUGCUGAAGGGCAGAGCCUCCUCAGGAGCCUCAUUUCACCGCAUUCUCUCAGCCCAAAGGCGGGGGCCAGAAGCUGGGGCUGCCCAGGGCCCCAGCAUUGCCCAGCCCGAGGAAUCCAGGCGUGGAAGCCCCGGCUCUGUGAGCUCACGGCCGGGCUCGGGGCUGUCUCCAGGGCAGCAGAGAACGGUGGAGCCCCGGGAGGAGCGGCCGCAGCGGCACCGGAGAGGCACAGCCGCAGCUGGGGCUGCUCUGCUGCUUCUGCUGGCACCGCUCUGCUUCUGCUGCUGCUUCUGGCACCGCUCUGCUUCUGCUGCUGCUUCUGCCACUGCUGUGGGGUGGCCGAGCAGCGGCACCUGCAGCCUGCCAGGCGCUGGGAGCUCAAGGCAGAGCUCACUGACCCACUCGGCAUCGCUCUUGACACCGGACACGGAGAAGGGAUUGUGUGCUCACGGAAGCAGCAGCCAUGCCGCAGGGAAUCGUGCGGAUGUGCCUGGUGCUGAUGGCCGUGGCGAGCGUCAAGCUGCCGCUGCAGCCCAAGGCCCAGCAGGAGCUGGAAAGCCUGCAGAGGAUGAAGGAACGCGAGGCUCGGCUGCGGCUGCACCAGCUGCUCUUGGAGAAGGAAAUAGCAGCGCUGGAAGCUCUGGAAGCCCCGCAGGAGGCUCCGGCCCCAGCGGCAGAGCAGCAGCCGGAGGAGCAGCAGCGGAGCACGGCAGCCUUGCUGGCCUUGGCCGGGCCUGUGCUGCUCGUGCUGGGCCGGCAGCGCCUGCGGGGAGCCGCAGCUCAGCUCCCGGGACAAGGACACGCUGGCCCGGGGCUCCUGGGCACAGCCUGCAAGGGAAUGGCCCUCCUGAGAGAGCUCCUGCUGCUGCUGCUCAGGGCCAUGGCCAUCUCCAUGGGCAGAGCCCUGCCGGAGCUGCGGGGAGCUGCGGCCACACUGCUCCCACUGCCCGUCCUCGCUAACACCAAAAAACACUUGGGGCUGCACUAGGGGAAGCCAUUCCCUGCUGCAUUCAUUGCUACAAAUGCUCUCUUUGACUUGUUCUAUCAGCCGUGUUCAUUGCUAGCAAUGGUCUCUGCAUAGUUUAAAUAGCAUCUCUAAUGGUUAUGUUAUUAGUAGAUAUAUUAUAUUAUAUUAUAUUAUAUUAUAUUAUAUUAUAUUAUAUUAUAUUAUAUUAUAUUAUAUUAUAUUAUAUUAUAUUAUAUUAUAUUA
rnacentral:lncRNA from 1 species